rnacentral:lncRNA from 1 species
UUCCAAAAGAAUCGUGAUCUCAGUGACAUAUACGUGGAAGAUGGAAAUGGAGCCCACAACUCUGCAGUGCAUCCUGAUGCCGCGCUGACCUGACGGCUUGUGCGUGUCCCUUUGGCUGCACCAGUGAGCACAGUGGCAGGCGUGUCAGAGAAAGGGCCCCUUCUGCAGACGGUCUCUCACCAUUGCCGACCACGGAAUCCCAGAACCGCUGAGCUGCCUCGGGAAGAACCAGCAGGUGUCUGCAUCGUUGAGUGUGUUCUGAUCCAAAGGACCGCCGGGGUCCUGCUUGUCCUGGGGCAGCCACGAGGGAGCCCUCGUCAGGAGCGCCAUGGGCCGAAGCUGCCUGCCCUCUGCACGUGGAUGUUUCUUUGGAACAAGGGGAAAAAUUAUGAUUUUCUUAUUUUGCUUUGACCUGUGAAUGACACCCUGGUCUCUGGUGCCUGGGGUGUGCUCUCUGCAGUGCUGCCAGGCACAUGCUGGUUCCUUCAGCGUUAGGUGCUUGGCACCUUCAGUCUUUUCCUGACGUCAUGUUUGUUCCUGGUGCCUCAGAUAGGAGACGGCUGUUCUGACGGCUCCUGCUUCCCCAU